UACGUAGGGUGCGAGCGUUGUCCGGAUUUAUUGGGCGUAAAGAGCUCGUAGGCGGCUCGUCGCGUCGACCGUGAAAACCCGCAGCUUAACUGCGGGCCUGCGGUUGAUACGGGCGGGCUAGAGUUCGGUAGGGGAGACUGGAAUUCCUGGUGUAGCGGUGAAAUGCGCAGAUAUCAGGAGGAACACCGGUGGCGAAGGCGGGUCUCUGGGCCGAUACUGACGCUGAGGAGCGAAAGCGUGGGGAGCAAACAGG
rnacentral:rRNA from 1 species